GACGAACGCUGGCGGCGUGCUUAACACAUGCAAGUCGAACGGUGAAGCGCCUUCCUUUUUGGUGGGUGUGGAUGAGUGGCGAACGGGUGAGUAACACGUGAGUAACCUGCCCCCUUCUUCUGGAUAACCGCAUGAAAGUGUGGCUAAUACGGGGUAUUCUGGGUCUGUCGCAUGAUGGGUCUGGGAAAGAUAUUGUUUCGGUGGGGGAUGGGCUCGCGGCCUAUCAGCUUGUUGGUGGGGUGAUGGCCUACCAAGGCGGUGACGGGUAGCCGGCCUGAGAGGGUGGACGGUCACACUGGGACUGAGACACGGCCCAGACUCCUACGGGAGGCAGCAGUGGGGAAUAUUGCACAAUGGGCGCAAGCCUGAUGCAGCGACGCCGCGUGAGGGAUGGAGGCCUUCGGGUUGUGAACCUCUUUCGCCAGUGAAGCAGGCCUGCCUCGUUUGUGGGUGGGUUGACGGUAGCUGGAGAAGAAGCGCCGGCUAACUACGUG
rnacentral:rRNA from 1 species